rnacentral:misc_RNA from 1 species
GAUGUAGAACGUAGCGAAAUGCGAUAAGUAGUGUGAAUUGCAGAAUUCAGUGAAUCAUCGAAUCUUUGAACGCACAUUGCGCCCUGUGGUAUUCCGCAGGGCAUGCCUGUUCGAGCGUCAUUGACACCCUCAAGCUCUGCUUGGUCUUGGGCGUUUGUGCCUGCCGUUGCGCAGGGACUCGCCUCGAACUCAUUGGCAGCCUGCCUUUGCCGGUCUUUGCACAGCACAGUCGUGCCAAAGUCGCGGUGAGCAGGCGCUCCACAGGCCCUUUUCAGCUUGACCUCGGAUCAGGUAGGAAUACCCGCUGAACUUAAGCAUAUCAAUAAGCGGAGGA